rnacentral:rRNA from 1 species
GUACACUCCUGCGGGAGGCAGCAGUGGGGAAUAUUGCACAAUGGGCGCAAGCCUGAUGCAGCCAUGCCGCGUGUAUGAAGAAGGCCUUCGGGUUGUAAAGUACUUUCAGCGGGGAGGAAGGCGAUAAGGUUAAUAACCUUGUCGAUUGACGUUACCCGCAGAAGAAGCACCGGCUAACUCCGUGCCAGCAGCCGCGGUAAUACGGAGGGUGCAAGCGUUAAUCGGAAUUACUGGGCGUAAAGCGCACGCAGGCGGUCUGUCAAGUCGGAUGUGAAAUCCCCGGGCUCAACCUGGGAACUGCAUUCGAAACUGGCAGGCUAGAGUCUUGUAGAGGGGGGUAGAAUUCCAGGUGUAGCGGUGAAAUGCGUAGAGAUCUGGAGGAAUACCGGUGGCGAAGGCGGCCCCCUGGACAAAGACUGACGCUCAGGUGCGAAAGCGUGGGGAGCAAACAGGAUUAGAAACCCCUGUAGUCCCAUGA